GCUCCUGUAAAAUGUCAGUCAGAGAGUGUUCCUUGUAAUGUCAUUUGCCUUAGUAUAAAAGCUGGAGUCUUGGGUGAUGGGGAGAUGGCUCAGCAGUUCAGAGCGUUUGUGACUCUUCCAGGUGACCCAUGUUUGAUUCUUAGCACUAAUGUCAGGUGGCUCUCAACUGGGAAGGAUCUAGCUGCAGGCAUUUUUUCAACAGCUCAGCCCAUGUCAGCACACAGGAACAGAAUAAAAAGGGGUUUAGGCAUGCUGUCCUUGCUCCCCCUUACUCUGAUGAGACCCCAGCCUAUGGGAUGCUGCUGCUCACACUCAGGUGGACCCUCCUAUGUCAGCAAAUCCUCUGAAAAUGACCUCACAGACCGAGCAGUGGGUGUAGCAGAAACAAAAGAUUGCAGGUGUUUUACAUGGAGAUAAACUUCUAAGAGCUAAUACCCUACUUUUAAUCAGCUCUCUGGGACCCCAACCUUCAAACCACAUAAAUUCAGCAGCAAAAUAGUACAUUCUGAGGUUGAACUUUCUCCUCUGCAGGAAGAAGAGAGGAACCUGGUAGCUAGUUUGGUCCAAGCAAGGUGCUUUCCCUGUGCUCUGCUGGAGGCAUAAACUCCGUGAACUGAAAAUAGCCAAGAAAACAACUAUAAUUUCCUCCUUGCUUCCUACAAAGGAUUGAACAAAAAUGCUCAGGCCCUCCCGGGCGAUCAUAAAGAAGUUUAAAAUUUCAAAUAUUAUUAAAUACGACAGAAGAUGGUACUGGGUCUUCUGGAAAUGGAAUGGUUUUGAGCCACCUGAUUUGUAUGCUAGGAACUGAACUCCGGUCCUCUGUAAAAUCAGCAAGAACUCUCAACUCCUGAGCUGCUUCUUGCUGUUUUAAUGGUGAUUCAAACAUUGAAGAGGAAAGUUUCUGAGCAGCGGUCCACAGAACUUUCUCAAACUGAGCAGAACUUUGGAGUAGAAGGUUUUGGUAGGAAGGCAUCAUCCCAAAAUGUCAUCAGAAUUGGAGGAACUCAAAUUUGAAAUCCAGAAGUGUAAAUUCGAGAGGCAUGAACUUUAUCAAAUCCUGGACCUUUAUAUCUAUGAUGAUUGGGACUACAGGCUGGAUGUUUAAUUGCCAAUACUUCAAUCUGAACAUGCGAUGAGAAUGACGGCUAUGCAAAUGAUAACCAACUCAAUAAGUGAUGCCAUGGAGAGGUACAAGGAGCUCAUAUGAGUGAACAGUUUCUACCGCAUCAGGCACUCCCAGCUCCUGUGUGAACAAACUCAAUUGAAGAACCAUAUACAGAUUUUGCUGAAUGAGAACAGAGAACUGCUGGUGGAGCAGUCUGAACUGCCAGCAUCCUAUUUGGAGGCAAAGGGGUUCUGUGAAGAGUCCAGAAUGAACAUCUGUGUCCCCAGUGCCAAGCAACAGUAGGCUUUCGCCCGAUUCUCGGUACCGUGUCGGUGCUGGCGCCGACAGCUCUGCUCUCCAGAGUCAGCAGAAAUGGCAUGCAUCAGCAACACUGAGCCAGGAGAUGGAGACAUUAAUUCAGUGUGCUAGCUAGCUGGUGGCUUUAGGGUAAGUCUCCAGUCAAAAACCUUAUGAGUAGGGCUCUGCAACAGGACCAGCUUGGGAGCCACUUGUUAAAGCAGAGAAGCCUACUGGAGGAAGGAACCAUGUCACCAGUGCUUCAUGGAUCCCUUUCCUCCACAACAGAAAGACA
rnacentral:sRNA from 1 species